rnacentral:lncRNA from 10 species
CGAGGCAGAAGGACAGCUUGAGUCCAGGACUUGGAGAUCAGCCUGAACAACACAGAGAGACCCUGUCGCUACCAAUAAAAAAAAUUAGGCGGUCGUGGUGGUGCACACCUGUGGGAAUUUGCUGUGCUUGUGGCCAAUUAAGUGUUCCACUCUGAGGACAAAAAUGAAUGAACCUGGGAGUCUAAGAUGGGAGGAUCGCUUGAACCUGGGAGGUCGAGGUUACAGUGAGCCGUGAUUGCACCACCGCACUUCCUACAUUCUUUUGCAAUAGGAGCCUAUUUUAAGUCAUUCUUAGACACACAAAUAAGUUAAUUUUGGGGGGCAGUCUUGAUCUGGAUUCUUGCUUUCCUCUGCAGCAGUCCUAUUAUUAAGCACCAUCUAUACCCAGGGCACUUUCUUUUGCUCAUUUUACCCAUCCCAAACCUUGGCAGGAAAUCCAACAGCAAUGCUUUCAUUCUUAUCCCAUCCUAAUCUCAAGAUAUCAGUAUGAAAGUCUUGAAAGUAAGGAACUAACUCAAGUAAUUUCCACUUCAGAUUGACUAAUGGCACACUGAAUGGCUCCAGCAUACUCACUUACUGGCCUCUGGCAAGUGACUUAACCUUCCUUAGUUUCUUCAACCAGCAAAUGAGAAGGCAGAACUAGAUGACCUCAAAGGGCCUCUCAAGUAUCAAAGUUUUGCUUCUGUGAAAUACGUAUGAGCAAGCACACUCAAGUGUAGACAAUAUAGAUUGGCAAAUAAAAGCAAGUAGGACAGCAAGAAAAGUCCCAGACUCUCAGAUUCAAAUCUAGCGUCUUCUCAGGAACUCAACCUACUCACACAACUAUUUCCGAGAGCACUGUUAACUGCUUGUCAGAAAAUGCACGUAGUAGUUCCACGGGUCAUCAC